AGAUAUGAUCCAGAGUACCACGGGACACGUGAAACCCUGUGGGAAGCAGGAGGGACCACCCUCCAAGGCUAAAUACUACCUAGUGACCGAUAGCGUAUAGUACCGUGAGGGAAAGGUGAAAAGAACCCCGGGAGGGGAGGGAAAUAGAACCUGAAACCCUGCACUUACAAGCUGUGGAAGCACAUUUCUUGUGUGACCGCGUACUUUUUGUAGAACGGGCCAACG
rnacentral:rRNA from 1 species